GACGGAGGAUGCAAGUGUUAUCCGGAAUCACUGGGCGUAAAGCGUCUGUAGGUGGUUCGAAAAGUCCACUGUUAAAAAUUGAGGCUUAACUUCAAAGAUGCCGUGGAAACUUUCAAACUAGAGUAUGGUAGGGGUAGAGGGAAUUUCCAGUGGAGCGGUGAAAUGCGUAGAUAUUGGAAGGAACACCGAUGGCGAAAGCAGCGUGCUGGACCUUUUCUGACGCUGAGGCGCGAAAGCCAGGGGAGCAAACGGG
rnacentral:rRNA from 1 species